UGCGAGAGUGGUGAAAUUGGCAGACACGCCAGACUUAGGAUCUGGUGCCGCAAGGUUUAAGGGUUCAAGUCCCUUCUCUCGCAA
rnacentral:tRNA from 1 species